CCACUAGAGGGGAGAAGACUGCCGGGUUUACUGAAUGCUUCACCGUAGAGCUUGAAGGUGCAGGAGCUGUCACAAGACUGGUUGUCCAACGAAAUGGUUUAAAAUAUGUUAUGAAGGUGGGAAAACUAGAAGGAUUGUAUGUCCUUCAGAGUUCAUGUAGGCCUGGCAGUGGGAGGAGAGAAACAAAAUGAAGCAUAAAGCAAGGGUUGAACGGGCUUUCCCAGGAUCCCCAGAAUGUCAUCCAUAUUAGUAGACACAUUAAGGAGACAUCAUAAAAGGACCCAGGGGGAAUAUACAACUCAGAAGAUGGGGAGCUACUGAGGAUUAACUGAAAUUUGAUAUGCUUGCUUGCAGUGGAUUUUUUUUCUGAAAGCUUCAUCAAAAUGGCUGCAAGCAUAGGAGUGAAUAAAAUGCAGCUAAGACAAAACAGAAAUUGCAACCUUUUUAGACCAGCUCUAGCACCUCAGCAGAAGAUGAUGGAGGCUUGAAAACUGGCAGGCACUCAGGACCCGGUUCAGUUAAACAAUUAAGCACGUACUUAACUUUAAGAUUGUGAACAAUCCCUUUGACCUCCAUGGGAAGGAGAACAGUGACACAGAGGCCAAGUGACUCACCCAAGCUCACACAACAGCAUGGAUGAGCCUUCCCUCGUUAAAGGAGAUAAUGGAAACAUUUUGGAGGAUGCUUCAAGGAGCUGACCAACAUCAUUCUAGGACAACUGAUUUCCACCCAGAACAUGACCUAACAGGUAGGUAGAAUAUGACCGAGAAUGACUUUGCAAUGACUUUGGGGACAGUGGUUUGCUUGGAUUUUUAUUUUAUAUUUUCCUGGAAAGUAUACUGGCUCCAUUUGAAGAAUCUGAGAA